rnacentral:rRNA from 1 species
GCCGAACGCUUUCUUCUUUCUUAACACAUGCAAGUCGAACGGAAAGGCCCUGCUUUUGUGGGGUGCUCGAGUGGCGAACGGGUGAGUAACACGUGAGUAACCUGCCCUUGACUUUGGGAUAACUUCAGGAAACUGGGGCUAAUACCGGAUAGGAGCUCCUGCUGCAUGGUGGGGGUUGGAAAGUUUCGGCGGUUGGGGAUGGACUCGCGGCUUAUCAGCUUGUUGGUGGGGUAGUGGCUUACCAAGGCUUUGACGGGUAGCCGGCCUGAGAGGGUGACCGGCCACAUUGGGACUGAGAUACGGCCCAGACUCCUACGGGAGGCAGCAGUGGGGAAUAUUGCACAAUGGGCGGAAGCCUGAUGCAGCAACGCCGCGUGCGGGAUGACGGCCUUCGGGUUGUAAACCGCUUUCGCCUGUGACGAAGCGUGAGUGACGGUAAUGGGUAAAGAAGCACAGGCUAACUACGUG